GCCAUGAGGGCGGGAACCCUCGUACGCGGAAGUUCAUGAGGGCGGGACCCUCGUACGCGGAAGGUCAUGAGGGCGGGACCCUCGUACGCGGAAGUUCAUGCGGGCGGGACCCUCGUACGUGGAAGGUCAUGAGGGCGGGACCCUCGUACGUGGAAGGUCAUGAGGGCGGAACCCUGGUACAUGAAAUUCGUUCUCUUAUUUAAGAGACAAAGAACGCCCUUGUUUUUUCCACCACGUGAUGGCGCAGACAGAAGACAACCAGCAUCUAUGAACCAGGAAGCCCCCACCAGGCACUGAAUCUGCCCCUGCGUGGAUCUUAGACUUGCAGACUCCAGAACUAACCUUACAAUGUCUCUUCUCCAUUAAGAAAACCUACUUCAACAUCUCCAUUGGUUCUCAACAUAGAGAUUCUCUUAAUUUAAAGGAUCCAACGCAAUGACCAAUCUCCAAUUGUCAAAUAUUGAGUGUCCAAAUUUUGGUCUGGAGCCAGAGACAAUAUAGGAUGAAGUUUGAUUUGUUCCAAAACCCACAGAAAUCUCUAAAAUGGAAGAAUUUUCUUAGAACCAAAAGGCAUGGAAUUGAUGACAUGAAACUGCCUGAGCUUCUCAGCUGACCUGUGAUGGAGUGUUGUGCCCAAGUGGAAAGUUCUUCUUUCUUUCAGAGACAUAUCAUUCACCAUAAAAUACAACCAGAGACUUCAAAAUUACUCCAGGCUAGAAGGACACUCCAAUUAGGGGAAAAGUAACCUAUGGGCAAACCAUCUUCCGUAAGAGUUCAAGGACAAAAAACUACUGAUGUUGUAAUAACAUUGAAACUUAAUGUUUUGGGCAAUCCUUAAGUGAUUUAUUUGGAGUGUCCCAGUCAUUUUAGACCUCUUCACCUUACAAUGUAUUGUGUGAGAUUAUAUUUCCAUGCACCUAAUUUUAAAAUAAAUUUAUUUAGGUAGAUGUAGAGACAUAUUACUGUGAUAAAGCAGUUCAUACCAAAUAAAAUUUAGCUAA
rnacentral:lncRNA from 1 species